rnacentral:rRNA from 1 species
UACAGAGGUCUCAAGCGUUGUUCGGAUUCAUUGGGCGUAAAGGGUGCGUAGGCGGCGCGGUAAGUCGGGUGUGAAAUCUCGGAGCUUAACUCCGAAACUGCAUUCGAUACUGCCGUGCUUGAGGACUGGAGAGGAGACUGGAAUUUACGGUGUAGCGGUGAAAUGCGUAGAUAUCGUAAGGAAGACCAGUGGCGAAGGCGGGUCUCUGGAACAGUCCUGACGCUGAGG